rnacentral:rRNA from 1 species
CCUACGGGGGUCAGCAGUGAGGAAUAUUGGUCAAUGGGCUUACGCCUGAACCAGCCAAGUCGCGUGAGGGAAGACUGCCCUAUGGGUUGUAAACCUCUUUUGUCAGGGAGCAAUUGGCGCUACGUGUAGCGUUAUCGAGAGUACCUGAAGAAAAAGCAUCGGCUAACUCCGUGCCAGCAGCCGCGGUAAUACGGAGGAUGCGAGCGUUAUCCGGAUUUAUUGGGUUUAAAGGUGGCGUAGGCGGAAUGCCAAGUCAGCGGUAAAAUCGCGGGGCUCAACCUCGCUCCGCCGUUGAAACUGGCGGUCUUGAGUGGGCGAGAAGUAUGCGGAAUGCGUGGUGUAGCGGUGAAAUGCAUAGAUAUCACGCAGAACUCCGAUUGCGAAGGAAGCAUACCGGCGCCCAACUGACGCUGAAGCACGAAAGCGUGGGUAUCGAACAGGAUUAGAUACCCCUGUAGUC